UAUUCUUUAUCUUAGGGAAAGUAUAGAA
rnacentral:sRNA from 1 species